CCUACGGGAGGCAGCAGUGGGGGAUAUUGCACAAUGGGGGAAACCCUGAUGCAGCGACGCCGCGUGGGUGAAGAAGCGCCUCGGCGCGUAAAGCCCUGUCAGCAGGGAAGAAAAUGACGGUACCUGAAGAAGAAGCCCCGGCUAACUACGUGCCAGCAGCCGCGGUAAUACGUAGGGGGCAAGCGUUAUCCGGAUUUACUGGGUGUAAAGGGGGCGCAGACGGGGAUGCAAGCCAGGAGUGAAAGCCCGGGGCCCAACCCCGGGACAGCUCUUGGAACUGCGUGGCUAGAGUGCAGGAGGGGCAGGCGGAAUUCCUGGUGUAGCGGUGAAAUGCGUAGAUAGCAGGAGGAACACCGGUGGCGAAGGCGGCCUGCUGGACUGCAACUGACGUUGAGGCCCGAAAGCGUGGGGAGCAAACAGGAUUAGAUACCCUUGUAGUC
rnacentral:rRNA from 1 species